CCUACGGGUGGCAGCAGUGGGGAAUAUUGCACAAUGGGGGCAACCCUGAUGCAGCGAAGCCGCGUGAGUGAAGAAGUAAUUAGUUAUGUAAAGCUCUAUCAGCAGGGAAGAAAAGGACGGUACCUGAGCAAGAAGCCCCGGCUAACUACGUGCCAACAGCCGCGGUAAUACGUAGGUGGCCAGCGUUAUCCGGAUUUACUGGGUGUAAAGGGAGCGUAGACGGCAGUGCACGGCUGGAGUGAAAGGCGGGGGCUCAACCUGCGGACUGCCCUGGAAACUGUACGGCUGGAGUGCAGGAGAGGUAAGUGGAAUUCCUGGUGUAGCGGUGAAAUGCGUAGAUAUUAGGAGGAACACCAGUGGCGAAGGCGGCUUACUGGACUGUAACUGACGUUGAGGAGCGAAAGCGUGGGGAGCAAACAGGAUUAGAUACCCCUGUAGUC
rnacentral:rRNA from 1 species